GUUUAAUUUUUUGGCAGAAGCUCAGCAUCAUGAAUGAAAAUUAUAGCAGUACAGACUUUCAGGUCGUCAGCAGAGGGAGAAAACAACUGAGUAAAAACAAGGAGAAAUAUCAUUAAUAAAUACAUUGAAAAGAAAUGGGCCAAGUAACAACCCUUGAGGAGCUAAACCAGCUGAGGAGAGAACCAUUUAUUCUAAGGAUGAGUGUUCGAAUAAGGAGACAACGAUCAAUUUUAUGUCUUGACAAAAUCUAAAUACAUUAAACAACAUAUACACAACACUAACUAUUAAACAACAUACUUACUUCAUUUUUGUCAUACCUAAUAAGAUGUUGAACGAGAAGGCGGGAAACUAUAUUGU